rnacentral:tRNA from 1 species
GGGGGCGUAGCUCAGCUGGGAGAGCACCUGCCUUGCACGCAGGGGGUCGUCGGUUCGAGUCCGGCCGCCUCCA